rnacentral:lncRNA from 1 species
ACAGCUUCGACCUUUCUUUACUAAAAUUUAAUUAUCUCAUAGCAUAGGACUCGGAUGAUAUUCCUGUUUAUUUCUCUUGAAAAUAGAUUCAUUAAAGAUUCUAAGCAUAUGAAUUAUAGCCCAUAAUUAUUUUUAUACAAUUUUUAAUGAUUUUCGCAAUUCAGAAUAGGGAAUUCCAAAAUCAAUCUGACAUUGUCUCACAAAAAUUCAAAUUCAUACCAAAUUAGUCAAAUCCUAUUUUAUACCAUAACCAAACCUAAAUUUAUUUAUUUCAUCCUUACAUUUACAAUUUCAAAAUGACACACACAUAAGACAUCUUAGGUACAUGCCAUUACCCAUAAUUAACACACUUUACCUCAUUGAAUUCGGGAUCGACCUGGGAUGCUGAUUCAACGUUCUAUCUUUACUUAACCUGCGCACGGAAACAAACCGUACGCUGAGUAUGGUAUACUCAGUGGUAUUUCUAUAAUCCGAACACUUGAUAAUAUAAGAGUUAAACUUAAAAUCACAAUAACAAAUAUAACUAUUCAUUUAUUUAUUUUAUAGAUAAGUUUUAUUUACUUACCAUAAAAAUUCUAAACAAGCCAUAUAACAGACACAACAACAUAUUUGCUCAAUUCUUUUCAUUUGCUUACCGUAUAAAUUCUUUACAAUAUAUUCACAAUUCACUUGUAUUCACACUUUACUUCUUAACAAUAUACCAUUUUAAUUCUUUCUAACAUCAAUCAUCAUCCAUUUGAACUUCACUCAUUUCGUGAAUCCUUUGGUUCAUGUUUUCAAUCUCAUAUCUCAAUUUCAAUUCUCAAUUCAAUUUCUCAUUUCAUUCCAAUAGCUCAAUCAAUCAAAUUCACUCGAUUUAUCUUUUCAAUUAUUUACCCCUAUUAACAAGACUCGGACUCUGAUAGGUACGCGGAUUCCUCCCAAACACACCAGAAUAUCCAACCCAAACACACCCGGAAUAUUAUAAAUCCUCCAUAACACACUAGUAUAUCAUAUCCUCCCAAACACACCAAUAAUGCAUUAAAUGCCUCUUCGGAUAAACCGAAGUAUAUAAUAACAGAAACAUCUUCUCGGCCGAACUACUAAUCUCCUCAUCACAUCACAAAUCCAAUGACAUGCCAUUUGUAUCCAAUCUGGUCCGAUACUAUUAAUAGGGUAUUUGAUUCACUUUCUUAAUUUAAUAAAUCUUUCAUCAAUAUACCAUUCUAAUAAUCACAUAUAUUCACACAUUUUCACAAUUUCAUACAUUUUCAUUCAAUUCAACAUAUAUAUUUCAAUUAUUCACAUUAAUUCAUAAUUCAAUACAACUCAAUUCACUUUUCAAUAUCAAAUAUUCAAUUAUCACAAAUCUCAUAUAUUCAUAUCAAUUCCCUCAUAUUCCAAUCAAUAUAAUAUUUCAAUAUAACAUUCAUUCAAUAUUCAAAUUUUUAUAUAAAUCAUAUAUAUAUUAUAUUUCAAUCAAUAUAAAUUCAAUCAAAAUGAUUUCAAUCAAUAUAAAUUUGAUAAAUUCAUCACAUACCAAAAUCAAUCCAUUUCAAUUGUAAAACAUCAUAAUUCUAACACUAACAAUUGUCAUAUGUAUAUAAAUAUAACAAAUAAUGACUGAGUUCGGAUUAUAGAAAUACAAACCGUAUUUUCUUGAGCUAACUCCUCAACGAUCUUUUCUUUUCCUUUAGAUGCCGAUGCCUCGUUUUCCUUGUUAGCUAAAAAUAAUAACAAUUUACAUUAUUAAUUACAACAUUAAUUUAAAUAAUUAAUUAAAUUUCUACUCAAUUUAUGCCUAAUGUUCGUUUGGUUGCAACUCCCAAAUUAUCUUCAUACUUUAUCCGAAAUUAUUACUUGUUGUUCUGGCUUCAUCAAUAACUUUAUAUUUCAUCCGGAUAUAUUACUUUAUUGCUCUAGUUUCAAAAAUAGCUUCAUAUUUAAUCCGAAUAACUUAGUUCUUUUCUUUCUUUUUUUUUUCUUCCUGUGUGAAAAACCCAAUAAAACUCUUGCUAGUUAAAAAUUCAUAUAUUUAUUUCAUACUUCAAUUCUAUUCAUUUUCUUCCAUAUUCAUUCUAACUAUCAAGUAUUCAUAAUAUAACCCUAAUUUAAAAUUUCUUUUAAUUUAAUCCCUCUAAUACAAAACUUAUAGCUUAACUUACAAUUUAAUCCUUUAUUAAUUCAAACUUAAAAUUUAUUCAAUUCCAUCCUUAAUUUAUCUUUUUCUUCAACAUGAACCAUGCUUAGAAAUCUCAUAACUUUCAAAAUUUCCACUUAAAACAAGUAGUAUUUAUCUCUAGGAUUCCAAAAAACUCAAAAAUCAUAAGAAAAUGGGCUAAAUUGACUUACCAAAUUAACUUGGAACCUUUAAAACUUUAUUUUUCCCUUUUUUCUUUUCUUCCUUUCUUCCUUCUCUGUUUCGUCCCUGCUAUUCUGUUUCUUUCUUUCUUUUUAUUCUUUUUGUUUCUUUCUUUUAUUUCUUUUAUAUAUAUAUAUAAUGGCAAUAAUAACUAUAUUAAAAAUCUAUUUAAUAACAAAUAUUUAUUUAACACUUGUACUAAUUAUUUUU